GAGCAUGCGCGGGGAAGAGCGCAUGCCCAGAGCGAGGGCGCAGAGGCCCGGCCCCGGAGGAAUGUCGGGAGUUGAAUUUGAUGGCCUGGGCCUGCGAUGGGUUCAGCCAAAAGUUUGAUCAAAUAAAACAGUGUGAGACCUCAGCUCAGCCAAGUUCUCUGCAGAGCCGGAGCAGAGACUGGACCAAGGUCACACCAGGCAUCUUUGCAGCAGCUGGGGACUUGGUGCAGUUAAUUCCUUCCGCCCGUGUGAGGCUCGGUAGCCGCCCCCACAGGAAUCACCGAGGCUUAACCAAGCAUCUGAUGUGAAGACCUGAGCCUGGAGCCUUCGAAGCAUGCCAGGGCUUUCGAGGAUGUGUGAGGCCUGGGGAAUUCAUUUGUUUCAAAUCACCAUCAAGGAGAUGCCAGGUUCCCUGCCCGGAGUUAGAAUCGGUGUUGAAAACCCAGGACGCUUUGGCUGGUAAUUAAUCCAGAGCUCACCCAGGGCAGCCUCGGCUCUCAGCCUGCAAACGCCACACGCUUGCUCGCCCGUGAAUAAAAACCAGAGCAGAGAUCCAGACAGGCAGAUAUGGGCACCGAGGCCUCAGGUCGCAGGGCAAGGGCCCCGGGCCGAGGCAGGACAUGCUGCAAGUCCCAGUCGCCUCCGAGCACCCGGCUUCCUCUAGCCAAACUGGCACCUGUCUUCCUUCCAUCUGGGCUCACGGGCGGAGUAGAGGGUCUCUGGCCCUGUGUCCAGUUCUGCAGGUUCAGGAGUUGGGGCCAGGCUAGCCUGGUCUCAUCCUCUCCAGCUGACUUCGGUGGAAGCAGUGGAUGGUGGUGCAUGUCCAAUGGGGGGCCUACGGGGCCCCCCACUCACUAGCUUGGUGACUCUGGACAAGUCUCUGAGCUGUGGUUUCCAUAAAUGUAACAUGAGGAUAAGAAUAGCAUGACGCCGACAGAUAAUCUAUAAAAAGUGCUAAU